UCUUUAAGUCUUCAUUUUGAAGUUUAAGUGCCGCAUUUUCGUUUUUCAGUUCAUUGUUCAACGUUUCUAUUUUUUUAAUACGUUCGAGCAACAUACCUAUUUGGUUACACUGUGAACCCCCGCCAGGAGGCGGAGUUUGUAUGUCCAUUACGAUCUUACUGAAUUGUGGUUACGUUAAGUCAAAGAACUGCCUUAUCAACUGCUUUACCGACUUCACGUGCAGAUAAUGUAGUGUCCCUGGCCACUUACAACUCUGCGUAGACAGCUGUUUUGCCGUGCGACAGAAACAGCUGAUACCCACUUUAGAUGUCGGAGGAGAAUUUUUGCGCGAAAAUUUAUUGAGUGUUUUUAAUUUGAAAUUUCGAUUAAAUUGAUAUACCGCGUGGUGCCAACGAUGAUAAGGUCCUCCGGAGAGUCUGCUUACGAGUUUCCCCAGCCGGGAUUUCACGUAUAUUACAAGAGAUUGAGGAGCACACUUUACUGUUGACCGUACGCGCGAACGUUU